UACAGAGGUCUCAAGCGUUGUUCGGAUUCAUUGGGCGUAAAGGGUGCGUAGGCGGCGCGGUAAGUCAGGGGUGAAAUCCUGGAGCUCAACUCCAGAACUGCCUUUGAUACUGGCAACCUUGAGUCCGGGAGAGGUGAGUGGAACUGCGAGUGUAGAGGUGAAAUUCGUAGAUAUUCGCAAGAACACCAGUGGCGAAGGCGGCUCACUGGCCCGGUACUGACACUGAGGUGCGAAAGCGUGGGGAGCAAACAGG
rnacentral:rRNA from 1 species